rnacentral:rRNA from 1 species
AUGCACGCUGGCGGCGUGCCUAAUACAUGCCAGUCGAGCGAACGGACGAGAAGCUUGCUUCUCUGAUGUUAGCGGCGGACGGGUGAGUAACACGUGGAUAACCUACCUAUAAGACUGGGAUAACUUCGGGAAACCGGAGCUAAUACCGGAUGAUAUUUUGAACCGCAUGGUUCAAAAGUGAAAGACGGUCUUGCUGUCACUUAUAGAUGGAUCCGCGCUGCAUUAGCUAGUUGGUAAGGUAACGGCUUACCAAGGCAACGAUGCAUAGCCGACCUGGGAGGGUGAUCGGCCACACUGGAACUGAGACACGGUCCAGACUCCUACGGGAGGCAGCAGUAGGGAAUCUUCCGCAAUGGGCGAAAGCCUGACGGAGCAACGCCGCGUGAGUGAUGAAGGUCUUCGGAUCGUAAAACUCUGUUAUGAGGGAAGAACAUAUGUGUAAGUAACUGUGCACAUCUUGACGGUACCUAAUCAGAAAGCCACGGCUAACUACGU